rnacentral:tRNA from 1 species
ACAUCUUUAGCUGAAUGGUUAUAGCGUUUGCCUUCGAAGCAAUUGAAUAUUGGUUCGAGCCCAAUAAGAUGUU